CGCUUUGCGCGACAGCGCAAAGGCAGGCGGUUUCGCGUAGCGAAAGCGAAUGCUUUGGGGUGGGGUGACUGCGUACCUUUUGUAUAAUGGGUCAGCGACUUAUAUUCUGUAGCAAGGUUAACCGAAUAGGGGAGCCGGAGGGAAACCGAGUCUUAAUUGGGCGUUAAGUUGCAGGGUAUAGACCCGAAACCCGGUGAUCUAGCCAUGGGCAGGUUGAAGGUUGGGUAACACUAACUGGAGGACCGAACCGACUAAUGUUGAAAAAUUAGCGGAUGACCUGUGGCUGGGGGUGAAAGGCCAAUCAAACCGGGAGAUAGCUGGUUCUCCCCGAAAGCUAUUUAGGUAGCGCCUCGUGAAUUCAUCUCCGGGGGUAGAGCACUGUUUCGGCUAGGGGGCCAUCCCGGCUUACCAACCCGAUGCAAACUGCGAAUACCGGAGAAUGUUAUCACGGGAGACACACGGCGGGUGCUAACGUCCGUCGUGAAGAGGGAAACAACCCAGACCGCCAGCUAAGGUCCCAAAGUCAUGGUUAAGUGGGAAACGAUGUGGGAAGGCCCAGACAGCCAGGAUGUUGGCUUAGAAGCAGCCAUCAUUUAAAGAAAGCGUAAUAGCUCACUGGUCGAGUCGGCCUGCGCGGAAGAUGUAACGGGGCUAAACCAUGCACCGAAGCUGCGGCAGCGACACUGUGUGUUGUUGGGUAGGGGAGCGUUCUGUAAGCCUGUGAAGGUGUGUCGUGAGGCAUGCUGGAGGUAUCAGAAGUGCGAAUGCUGACAUAAGUAACGAUAAAGCGGGUGAAAAGCCCGCUCGCCGGAAGACCAAGGGUUCCUGUCCAACGUUAAUCGGGGCAGGGUGAGUCGACCCCUAAGGCGAGGCCGAAAGGCGUAGUCGAUGGGAAACGGGUUAAUAUUCCCGUACUUGGUGUUACUGCGAAGGGGGGACGGAGAAGGCUAUGUUGGCCGGGCGACGGUUGUCCCGGUUUAAGCGUGUAGGUGUGUGUUCCAGGUAAAUCCGGUUCACUUUAACACUGAGGCGUGACGACGAGGCACUACGGUGCUGAAGCAACAAAUGCCCUGCUUCCAGGAAAAGCCUCUAAGCAUCAGGUAACAUCAAAUCGUACCCCAAACCGACACAGGUGGUCAGGUAGAGAAUACCAAGGCGCUUGAGAGAACUCGGGUGAAGGAACUAGGCAAAAUGGUGCCGUAACUUCGGGAGAAGGCACGCUGACACGUAGGUGAAGUGAUUUACUCAUGGAGCUGAAGUCAGUCGAAGAUACCAGCUGGCUGCAACUGUUUAUUAAAAACACAGCACUGUGCAAACACGAAAGUGGACGUAUACGGUGUGACGCCUGCCCGGUGCCGGAAGGUUAAUUGAUGGGGUCAGCGCAAGCGAAGCUCCUGAUCGAAGCCCCGGUAAACGGCGGCCGUAACUAUAACGGUCCUAAGGUAGCGAAAUUCCUUGUCGGGUAAGUUCCGACCUGCACGAAUGGCGUAAUGAUGGCCAGGCUGUCUCCACCCGAGACUCAGUGAAAUUGAACUCGCUGUGAAGAUGCAGUGUACCCGCGGCAAGACGGAAAGACCCCGUGAACCUUUACUAUAGCUUGACACUGAACAUUGAGCCUUGAUGUGUAGGAUAGGUGGGAGGCUUUGAAGUGUGGACGCCAGUCUGCAUGGAGCCGACCUUGAAAUACCACCCUUUAAUGUUUGAUGUUCUAACGUGGACCCGUUACCCGGGUUGCGGACAGUGUCUGGUGGGUAGUUUGACUGGGGCGGUCUCCUCCUAAAGAGUAACGGAGGAGCACG
rnacentral:rRNA from 1 species